rnacentral:rRNA from 1 species
UACGUAGGGUGCAAGCGUUGUCCGGAAUUAUUGGGCGUAAAGAGCUCGUAGGCGGUUUGUCGCGUCUGCUGUGAAAAUCCGAGGCUCAACCUCGGGCCUGCAGUGGGUACGGGCAGACUAGAGUGCGGUAGGGGAGAUUGGAAUUCCUGGUGUAGCGGUGGAAUGCGCAGAUAUCAGGAGGAACACCGGUGGCGAAGGCGGUUCUCUGGGCCUUACCUGACGCUGAGGAGCGAAAGCGUGGGGAGCGAACAGG